AGUAGUACCCAGCUCUCGGUGACUCUCUACUCACUUAGAUACGGAAGAUCUGUUCAGUUACAGGCAGCAAUACGCACGGAAGCGUUCGGAAGUUGAAUAUCGAGCCUGAUAUUGGACAUCAUAUUAAGAAAUACGACUCCGGUUGCGGAUUUUCGCACGCGCCGUCCGACGCGCCUUCACAUCGGGAUUAUCGAGCAUUCCGCGCGCCACGAUUAGGGCCCGUGAUUAGUAUUUUUGCGCUGGAAAGCUAGUGAAAAGUGUGCAACCGACGGAAAAAAAGACAGAUACUGUGAAGUGUGAGCAUUUGGCAAGUGACAUCCUCUUCCCGCCUCACCUCAAUCAACACUCCCAAUCUGAAGCUCAUUGGCCGCCCCGGAGCAGUUCCACGGCCGCAACGUCGCUGCGACUCCGUCCAGAGCCUCCUGACCGUCCAGUCCAGCCAACCGUCAACAUGUUCGCGGUCAUGCGAAUUGAUAACGACGACUGUCGGUCGGACUUUCGCCGCAAGAUGCGGCCGAAGUGUGAGUUCAUCUGCAAGUACUGCCAGAGGCGCUUCACCAAGCCCUACAACCUCAUGAUCCACGAGCGCACCCACAAGAGCCCGGAGGUCACCUUCUCCUGUGAAGUCUGCGGCAAGUACUUCAAGCGACAGGACAACCUGCGCCAACACAGAUGUAGUCAAUGUGUUUGGCGAUAAACCACUCUACUACUCAAAGGUGAGGGGCAAUAAAAAUGCAGGCGGACUGUGUAAAGCGGCUGUCUCUCUAUAAAAACACACACAAUUGCACAAAAAAUAAUGACGAUCCACAUGGACGUUUAUAGGCGAACGUAUUGAAAAGACGCGUAAGAGAAUGUUCUAAUAAUUGUUCCUGCCAUUGCAUUGUAAAUAAGAGCCUUCCUCCUUAAAAUAUAUGUCAGCUAUUAUAAAUUUAAAGAAAGUAUGAAUCCUGUAGAGUUCUUUUUUGUACUUUUGAAGGAAUAAAAAAAACACACACUGAGAACGUACGAAUAUUUAUGAAAUAAAUCCCAAACUUCUGCAAGAACCGACACAAAAGCACGAUUAUGCACAGUUUCGUCAUUAUUUUUUAACACCUCUUGCCAACUGAAAGAUCAAUUAAGUCCUUACUUCUUGAUCUUUCACCUCAAAACCCGUUGAAAUGAAAGUAUUAUUUUUCGAAUUUACCCAUUGACUUUUCGGCCAAAACCAAAAAUAAUGACAAAAUUGUGAUAAUCUGUGAUUUCACAUCUAAGCAUUAACAUUAUAAUUGCUGUUCUCGGCAUUUGUCCGUUCCUUAAGUCUAAUAUAGAAUCAUCCUUAUUUAAAAUGAAGAUUAUAAAUAUUUAACUAAUGCUUGUUUAAAAUAUUUCAUUAUUCCAUCGAUUUAUUGACGAAAUAUUGGAUUAAUUAGUGAGAGAGAGAGAGAGAGAGAAAAUUUUAUGUAAAAGUUUAGCUCGUAAGAUCCUAGGUAGAUUUCUAGUCUGAAGAUUUAUAAUUAUUCUCAUUUCAUUUAUACAAUUUAAAUAUAUAUAUAUAUUUUUUAUAUUGAAUCGAAAAUUUGUUAUGAAACACUAUUUUUUUGAUAUGUAAUUUGCCAAUUUAAUAGCAAUCAAUCCGAGCUUGAAAUUUGAUACUGCGUGGAAGAGAGUGAAAAAAAAUAUCGAAAACUAUCAUCGACAAUAAAUUAGAAAUUUUAUUAACCAACAAAACAACCUACAAGAAAUUUGAAUGCAAGAGAGAUGAAAGUGCAUA